rnacentral:misc_RNA from 1 species
CUGAGUACUACACUCUCUACCCUUUGUGAACUAUUAUACCUGUUGCUUCGGCGGCGCCCGCAAGGGUGCCCGCCGGUCUCAUCAGAAUUUCUGUUUUCGAACCCGACGAUACUUCUGAGUGUUCUUAGCGAACUGUCA